UCCCAAAGUCAUGGUUAAGUGGGAAACGAUGUGGGAAGGCCCAGACAGCCAGGAUGUUGGCUUAGAAGCAGCCAUCAUUUAAAGAAAGCGUAAUAGCUCACUGGUCGAGUCGGCCUGCGCGGAAGAUGUAACGGGGCUAAACCAUGCACCGAAGCUGCGGCAGCGACACUAUGUGUUGUUGGGUAGGGGAGCGUUCUGUAAGCCUGUGAAGGUGUGCUGUGAGGCAUGCUGGAGGUAUCAGAAGUGCGAAUGCUGACAUAAGUAACGAUAAAGCGGGUGAAAAGCCCGCUCGCCGGAAGACCAAGGGUUCCUGUCCAACGUUAAUCGGGGCAGGGUGAGUCGACCCCUAAGGCGAGGCCGAAAGGCGUAGUCGAUGGGAAACAGGUUAAUAUUCCUGUACUUGGUGUUACUGCGAAGGGGGGACGGAGAAGGCUAUGUUGGCCGGGCGACGGUUGUCCCGGUUUAAGCGUGUAGGCUGGUUUUCCAGGCAAAUCCGGAAAACCAAGGCUGAGGCGUGAUGACGAGGCACUACGGUGCUGAAGUGACAAAUGCCCUGCUUCCAGGAAAAGCCUCUAAGCAUCAGGUAACAUCAAAUCGUACCCCAAACCGACACAGGUGGUCAGGUAGAGAAUACCAAGGCGCUUGAGAGAACUCGGGUGAAGGAACUAGGCAAAAUGGUGCCGUAACUUCGGGAGAAGGCACGCUGAUAUGUAGGUGAAGCGACUUGCUCGUGGAGCUGAAAUCAGUCGAAGAUACCAGCUGGCUGCAACUGUUUAUUAAAAACACAGCACUGUGCAAACACGAAAGUGGACGUAUACGGUGUGACGCCUGCCCGGUGCCGGAAGGUUAAUUGAUGGGGUUAGCGGUAACGCGAAGCUCUUGAUCGAAGCCCCGGUAAACGGCGGCCGUAACUAUAACGGUCCUAAGGUAGCGAAAUUCCUUGUCGGGUAAGUUCCGACCUGCACGAAUGGCGUAAUGAUGGCCAGGCUGUCUCCACCCGAGACUCAGUGAAAUUGAACUCGCUGUGAAGAUGCAGUGUACCCGCGGCAAGACGGAAAGACCCCGUGAACCUUUACUAUAGCUUGACACUGAACAUUGAGCCUUGAUGUGUAGGAUAGGUGGGAGGCUUUGAAGUGUGGACGCCAGUCUGCAUGGAGCCGACCUUGAAAUACCACCCUUUAAUGUUUGAUGUUCUAACGUUGGCCCCUGAUCGGGGUUGCGGACAGUGUCUGGUGGGUAGUUUGACUGGGGCGGUCUCCUCCUAAAGAGUAACGGAGGAGCACGAAGGUUGGCUAAUCCUGGUCGGACAUCAGGAGGUUAGUGCAAUGGCAUAAGCCAGCUUGACUGCGAGCGUGACGGCGCGAGCAGGUGCGAAAGCAGGUCAUAGUGAUCCGGUGGUUCUGAAUGGAAGGGCCAUCGCUCAACGGAUAAAAGGUACUCCGGGGAUAACAGGCUGAUACCGCCCAAGAGUUCAUAUCGACGGCGGUGUUUGGCACCUCGAUGUCGGCUCAUCACAUCCUGGGGCUGAAGUAGGUCCCAAGGGUAUGGCUGUUCGCCAUUUAAAGUGGUACGCGAGCUGGGUUUAGAACGUCGUGAGACAGUUCGGUCCCUAUCUGCCGUGGGCGCUGGAGAACUGAGGGGGGCUGCUCCUAGUACGAGAGGACCGGAGUGGACGCAUCACUGGUGUUCGGGUUGUCAUGCCAAUGGCACUGCCCGGUAGCUAAAUGCGGAAGAGAUAAGUGCUGAAAGCAUCUAAGCACGAAACUUGCCCCGAGAUGAGUUCUCCCUGACUCCUUGAGAGUCCUGAAGGAACGUUGAAGACGACGACGUUGAUAGGCCGGGUGUGUAAGCGCAGCGAUGCGUUGAGCUAACCGGUACUAAUGAACCGUGAGGCUUAACCUUACAACGCCGAAG
rnacentral:rRNA from 1 species